rnacentral:rRNA from 1 species
AUUGAACGCUGGCGGCAUGCUUUACACAUGCCAGUCGAACGGCAGCGCGGGCUUCGGCCUGGCGGCGAGUGGCGAACGGGUGAGUAAUGCAUCGGAACGUGCCCAGUAGUGGGGGAUAGCCCGGCGAAAGCCGGAUUAAUACCGCAUACGACCUGAGGGUGAAAGCGGGGGACCGAAAGGCCUCGCGCUAUUGGAGCGGCCGAUGUCGGAUUAGCUAGUUGGUGGGGUAAAGGCUUACCAAGGCGAUGAUCCGUAGCUGGUCUGAGAGGACGACCAGCCACACUGGGACUGAGACACGGCCCAGACUCCUACGGGAGGCAGCAGUGGGGAAUUUUGGACAAUGGGGGCAACCCUGAUCCAGCCAUGCCGCGUGCGGGAAGAAGGCCUUCGGGUUGUAAACCGCUUUUGUUCGGGAAGAAAUCCUCUGGGCUAAUACCCCGGGGGGAUGACGGUACCGGAAGAAUAAGCACCGGCUAACUACGUG